CGGGAAAACUCACCAGAGCCAGAUAGCAGGAGGAUUGACAGAUUGAGAGCUCUUUCUUGAUUUGCUAGGUGGUGGUGCAUGGUCGUUCUUAGUUCGUGGUGUGAACUGUCUGGUUAAUUCCGGUAACGAACGAGACCUCAACUUGCUAACUAAGGGGCCCGGAGGAAGUUCUAGCUUUUUUUGAAGCGUCGCCCCUCUUUUUCCCGCAAGGGAGGAGGAGGGAGGCGUGGAUGGGCUUCAUACACUCCUGGGUUAAAAUUCCCCUUCUUAGAAGGACUAUUCAUGUUUUUUUACAAAUCUAAUGAAUGGAAGCUUGAGAUGAUAACAGGUCUGUGAUGCCCUUCGAUGCUCUGGGCUGCACGCGCGCUACAAUGAUGAACUCAACGAGUUUUCAGGGCUUGAUGUUGCUGUGACAUUUGGGGGCAACUCUGAGUGUCUGGCGACUUCCUAAGCCUUUGAUUUCCUCGGCCGAAAGGUUUGCAUAGGGUAAUCUUAUCAAAGUUCAUCAUGCUGGGGAUAGAUCAUUGCAAUUAUUGGUCUUGAACGAGGAAUUCCUAGUAAGCGCAAUUCAUCAGAUUGCGUUGAAUUCGUCCCCGCCCUUUGUACACACCGCCCGUC
rnacentral:rRNA from 1 species